GACGAACGCUGGCGGCGUGCUUAACACAUGCAAGUCGAGCGGUAAGGCCCUUUCGGGGGUACACGAGCGGCGAACGGGUGAGUAACACGUGGGUGACCUGCCCUCAGCUCUGGGAUAAGCCUGGGAAACCGGGUCUAAUACUGGAUAUGACUCCAUGACGCAUGUUGUGGGGUGGAAAGCCUUGUGCGGCUGAGGAUGGGCCCGCGCCUAUCAGCUUGUUGGUGGGGUGANGGCCCUACCAAGGCGACGACGGGUAGCCGGCCUGAGAGGGCGACCGGCCACACUGGGACUGAGACACGGCCCAGACUCCUACGGGAGGCAGCAGUGGGGAAUCUUGCGCAAUGGGCGAAAGCCUGACGCAGCGACGCCGCGUGAGGGAUGACGGCCUCGG
rnacentral:rRNA from 1 species